rnacentral:rRNA from 1 species
AUUGAACGCUGGCGGCAUGCCUUACACAUGCAAGUCGAACGGCAGCACGGGUGCUUGCACCUGGUGGCGAGUGGCGAACGGGUGAGUAAUACAUCGGAACGUACCUUAUCGUGGGGGAUAACGCAGCGAAAGCUGUGCUAAUACCGCAUACGCCCUGAGGGGGAAAGCGGGGGAUCGAAAGACCUCGCGCGAUUAGAGCGGCCGAUGCCUGAUUAGCUUGUUGGUGGGGGAAAAGCCCACCAAGGCGACGAUCAGUCGCUGGUCUGAGAGGACGAUCAGCAACACUGGGACUGAGACACGGCCCAGACUCCUACGGGAGGCAGCAGUGGGGAAUUUUGGACAAUGGGGGCAACCCUGAUCCAGCAAGGCCGCGUGAGUGAAGAAGGCCUUCGGGUUGUAAAGCUCUUUUGUCAGGGAAGAAACACUGGCUCUAACACAGUCCGGGAAUGACGGUACCUGAAGAAUAAGCACCGGCUAACUACGUGCCAGCAGCCGCGGUAA